rnacentral:tRNA from 1 species
GCGAAUGUGGUUUAGUGGUAGAAUUCGACCUUGCCAAGGUCGGGACCCGGGUCCGAUCCCCGGCAUUCGCA